rnacentral:rRNA from 1 species
AGAGUUUGAUCAUGGCUCAGAUUGAACGCUGGCGGUAUGCUUAACACAUGCAAGUCGAACGGUAACAGUCCCUCACCUAGAAAUUUCUUAAAAAGAGAUUUGUAGGUGAGGGAGCUGACGAGUGGCGGACGGGUGCGUAAUGUAUAGGAAUCUGCCUAGUAGUGGGGGACAACUCGGAGAAAUUCGAGCUAAUACCGCAUAAGCCCUACGGGGGAAAACGGGGGAUCUUCGGACCUCGUGCUAUUAGAUGAGCCUAUAUUAGAUUAGCUUGUUGGUGAGGUAAUGGCUUACCAAGGCGACGAUCUAUAGCUGGUCUGAGAGGAUGAUCAGCCACACUGGGACUGAGACACGGCCCAGACUCCUACGGGAGGCAGCAGUGGGGAAUAUUGGACAAUGGGCGAAAGCCUGAUCCAGCAAUACCGCGUGUGUGAAGAAGGCCUGAGGGUUGUAAAGCACUUUCAAUUGGGAGGAAUACCUAAUAGUUAAUAGCUAUUAGAUUGAC